AUUGAACGCUGGCGGCAUGCUUUACACAUGCAAGUCGAACGGCAGCGCGUGCUUCGGCCUCGCGGCGAAUGGCGAACGGGUGAGUAAUCCAUCGGAACGUGCCCUGUAGUCGGGGAUAGCCCGCCGAAAGCCGGAUUAAUACCGCAUACGACCUGACGGUGAAAGCUGGGGCCCGAAAGACCUCGCGCCUUUGGAACGGCCGUUGUCGGUUUAGCCAGUUGGUUGGGUUAAGGCUUACCAAGGGGACGAUCCGUAGCGGGUCUGAGAGGGCGACCAGCCAGACUGGAACUGAGAGACGGCCCAGAGGGGAACGGGAGGCAGCAGUGGGGAAUAUGGGACAAUGGGGGGAAGCCUAAUCGAGAAAGGCGGCGGGCGGGAAGAAGGACUUCGGGGUGUAAACCGCAGUUGUUCGGGAAGAAAAGCUCUGGGCUAAUACAAGGGGGGAAUGACGGUACCGGAAGAAGAAGCACCGGCUAACUACGUG
rnacentral:rRNA from 1 species